AGAAAGCCAUAGCCAGUGACGGAU
rnacentral:siRNA from 1 species